GCCAGUAAACAAAUUGAAGAUACAUAACCGCAAAGUGAUUCUCUAUCUAUGCCUAUACUACAUGUAUAUGGUUGUUAAAAAUUAUUGUUGAUUUUGAUAUUACUGUACUGAUUCUAAUAGAAUGAUCUAGAUGAAUUAAAAUAACAUAAUUGUGAAUGAUAGUGUGGGCGUGUUUGGCCCUCAACCAGUAAACAAUAAAGGAUAUAGUAACCACUAUUUAUGGAAACAUAGAUUGAUAUUGACAGUUAUCCACCUUGGAAGCUUUUCACAGUUUAAGGAUACACACAUACUAAUAAUAUUUAGCCUACAAAUAUCUGGGUGUAGACAUCCAGUUAUUCGAUAGGGUAAAUAUAAUAUAAACGUGUAAGAACAUAUUUUUGUCUAGCAGUUUUUAACUAAACAACAUCGAUGAGAGUUUUGGAAGCAGAAAUAGUAUCGACCUAUAAAAUGGGUAAAAAUAAAAAACAUCGAUUGAGGAAGAGUAAAGAGAAUGAAGCUGGGGGAUCAGACUCGACAGAUGACGGAGCAACAGCCCAGACACAUCAAGUAUGUCCACAUAUCAACAAAUCAGUUAAUUUUGCCGCAAUGCGAAAGGCGAUUCUGAAGACUAAUUGUGGUGAAUGUGUGUUAUGUAGUAAAGAUAAUAAAGCGGGUAAAGAUAAAGAAGUAGCUGUAGGAGGAGCGACUGCUGGGGCGACUGCUGGUACCCCAGAAAUUGAUGACAUAGAACAUGAAACAACUAUAUGGGUGUGUCUACAAUGUGGAAAUCAGGGCUGUGAUCGUAAUUCUAAAGAUAAACAUGCAUUAAAGCAUUAUGAAACCCCACAUUCUGGUUGUCAUUGUGUAACUAUUAAUCUUACAACCUGGGCCUGUUGGUGCUAUACCUGUGAUGAUGAUGUACCUGUAGAAACAUCUAAAAGAAUCCAGGAAUGUGUCGAGUUUCUACGCAAACAAUCUGGUUUAACUCGAGGAGAUCAUACUACAGG